GACGAACGCUGGCGGCGUGCUUAACACAUGCAAGUCGAGCGGAGCGGCGAACGGGUGAGUAACGCGUGCGUCACUACCACCCUCUCUGGGAUAACAGUUGGAAACGGCUGCAAAUACCGGAUAGCGGGGGAUGACUUGCGUCCUAUCAGCUUGUUGGUGGGGUAGUGGCCUACCAAGGCGACGACGGGUAGACGGCCUGAGAGAGCGACCGGACUCAUUGGUCUGAUAUACGGCCCAAACUCCGACGGGAGGCAGCAGUGGGGAAUAUUGCACAAUCGGGGAAACCCUGAUGCAGCAACGCCGCGUGCGGGAUAACGGCCUUCGGGUGGUAAACCGCUUUGAGCCAUGACGCGGUAGUGGCAGAAGAAGCACCGGCUAACUACGUGCCAGCAGCCGCGGUAAUUC
rnacentral:rRNA from 1 species